GUGGGGAAUCUUCCGUAAUGGACGAAAGUCUGACGGAGCGACGCCGCGUGAGUGAAGAAGGCCUUCGGGUCGUAAAGCUCUGUCAUCAGGGACGAACGGCCGGUGGAGUGGAAAGCCACCGGAUUGACGGUACCUGAGAAGGAAGCACCGGCUAACUACGUGCCAGCAGCCGCGGUAAUACGUAGGUGGCAAGCGUUGUCCGGAAUUAUUGGGCGUAAAGCGCGCGCAGGUGGGAUCUUAAGUCCAUUUUGAAAGUUCGGAGCUCAACUCCGUGAUGGGAUGGAAACUGGGAUUCUUGAGUACCGGAGAGGAAAGCGGAAUUCCCCGUGUAGCGGUGAAAUGCGUAGAUAUGGGGAGGAACACCAGUGGCGAAGGCGGCUUUCUGGACGGUGUCUGACACUGAGGCGCGAAAGCCAGGGGAGCGAACGGGAUUAGAAACCCUGGUAGUCC
rnacentral:rRNA from 1 species